UACGAAGGGGGCGAGCGUUGCUCGGAAUUACUGGGCGUAAAGAGCACGUAGGCGGCUUUUUAAGUCAGGGGUGAAAUCCUGGAGCUCAACUCCAGAACUGCCUUUGAUACUGAGAGGCUCGAGUCCGGGAGAGGUGAGUGGAACUGCGAGUGUAGAGGUGAAAUUCGUAGAUAUUCGCAAGAACACCAGUGGCGAAGGCGGCUCACUGGCCCGGUACUGACGCUGAGGUGCGAAAGCGUGGGGAGCAAACAGG
rnacentral:rRNA from 1 species